AUCCCGCAGUGAUGUGGACAUCCGUUUGGCGCACCUCCUCCAGGAUUUCGAUGGGAUCAACUCCCUUAAUUGGGUGGAGCGGCGUACGCUUACCUGUUGAGGAUCCUUGAUCACCUGGCAUACGAGGAUCGUAGCAUUUGUGGGGUAGACUAUAUUGUCUAGGUACCUUCCUGCCUUUUGUCUUUUUUAUUCCUCUUUCCGAUGGUGUAGCUUGAUUUACUCAUUGCUUGGUCUCUUGAACCAGCCUUGGGUCUAUGAGCACUUGAUGUUCAUGUGCCCGGAUCUCCGUAGUCCACAUGAGCUUUUCUUUCAUGCAUCUAGGAGAUGAGGGAACAAGCGCCUCACGAGGGGCGGUCAGUUCUUCCCAAGGGACACUCUGCCUGUGUCUCUGUUGAAUGGUGUUGUGAUGGUGAACUAUAAACCUUUCCUGAGGAUUGAGUUCUCCGACCCAGAUGAGUUGGAGAGGGCCAUGCUCUUGAUUGGGCUAAGAGUUUUAUUCUAGGGCCAUAUGGGCAGGGCUUGGUACUUGGGAGAGUGGUUCACUCCCCAGUGGUCAGACGUAGAUCUUUGAGAUCCGCGUCCCUCCUUGUCUUCCUCCUCCCACUAUGGACUGCCUGGAGGAUGUUCCUGAGGGAGAGGUAGAGGAGCUAUCCGAGGGAGUAUGGGAUGAUGAUUUCCUGGAUAUGGCGAGGGAUUACGACUGCAUUCUGGACAUAGAGACUGUCUGUGUGCCCUUAACCCCUGAGGGUCCCAUGGUACGUGUCUAAUUAUUAUUGCUUUUUUUUCCUUUUUUGAACCAAAGUUUCUUUAUUCUUACUUGGAUAUGAUUACAGUGGAGAACCAAAGAGAUGACCCUCUUCCCCCUCGGCUUCAGCCAGCCAUUGCCAGUUCUUCUGCUACAGAGUCAUCUUCCAUGGAGGGUAGACCAGUCCACAAAAUUGGCUGUUGCUCCAUUGCCAGGGUUCCCCUCUUGGACUUAUCCUAAUGUGGCCAACUCUUUGGCCCCUAGAGAUUUGCCGAGGAGUUUGGAGUGGGAUGCUUCCAUUGGCCUUCCGAUUCCAUAUGACUGUGAGGCACAACUCAAGUCUCAGGCUAAUCAGAUUUGUAGCUUGGAGGACCAGUUGACGGCAUUGCAAGUGAAGUACAACAAUACGAUGGUCUCAAUGGAUGAGCUUGUCGGACCGAGUGAUGGGAUUGGGGUAGCUCAUGAUGAAGCUGACCCUUAGAGCCGUCCCCCCUUACUUUUCUUCUGUUCUUGCCAUUCCUACACAGUUUGGAAAAACACAGAUCUUUUUUUCUUUAUUUUUGUUAUUAUCUUUCCUGUUUUUCAUUUUGUAUGCCAUUUUUUGUAAUUUUAUUUCUGAAAUGAAGAUUUGAUUUUAGGGACCAAAAUUUUAUUUCUAUUUUUGUGAGAUUUUGAGAAUCUAAAUCAAAAACAGGGGUUAAUUC